UACGGAGGGUGCAAGCGUUAAUCGGAAUUACUGGGCGUAAAGCGCACGCAGGUGGCUGAGUCAGUCGAUUGUGAAAGCCCUGGGCUUAACCUGGGAAUUGCAGUCGAUACUACUCGGCUCGAGUAUGGGAGAGGGCAGUGGAAUUCCCGGUGUAGCGGUGAAAUGCGCAGAUAUCAGGAGGAACACCUAUGGCGAAGGCAGCUCGCUGGGACGUUACUGACGCUGAGACGCGAAAGCGUGGGGAGCAAACAGG
rnacentral:rRNA from 1 species